CUGCAAAGACAAAGCCAUGAACACAAUCGAAAUUAUCUGUGUUUCUACCGUAAUGUGCGUGUUACUUUGUUCCUUGAAUGCUCAAGCAUUAAAACCGUACCUCUGCAUAAUUACAAAUCGCCCGUGUCAUCCUGGAAAAGCCGUUUGCUGUGAUUUUUUGGGAUGCAAUAAAAGUCCGGAUGGAAUUUAUCUUUGUCAGUCAGCGUUUCAAAAUAAACUGAGACGUCGCAAGAAGAUGAUUCGACUUAACUAAUAGUUGCAGAACUGAGUUACUAUACAGAUAUUGUUUUUCUACCAGGUGGUUAAUAACGAAAUUAGUGACAUUCAAUUUACGUAAUUCAUCAAUUAAUUCAUUUCAAUUAUUUAUAUGAGUCGUUUGUAAAUAUCAGAAAUACUUAUCAAUUUUUUCUGUACAUGUACUUAAUUAAAUAAAUACUUUCAGAAAUUUAUGAAAUUGUUAAUGCAUAAUAAAUUUGAGAUCGAAUCAACUUCAGAAAGAACUCAAUUUUUAUUCACAUAUCACAAAAAAAACGAUACCGAAUCGUACAAGAGGAGAGUAUUAGAAAAAGUGGCUAAAAAUAAGCCGAAUUUGAAA